UGUUCAAGACAAUGUCCAUUCUGGUAACAUCUUGAUUGGUUUUAAUUAACAUUGUUUAUAAUUAAUAUGAUUCUAAUUAAGUGUCUUUAAUGUGAUUCGUGUUAAUUGGCUGUGUUAAUUUACACUCAUCUCUUAAAUUAAUUUUGUUCAUCUGCCUUUGUUUUAGGUUAACCCAAUCCUACAAAGCAUGGCGAGUUACCAAAAGUGAUAGUGAUGUAAGGACAGUUCAACACAUGAAUCUUGGUGGAUUCAAGAGUUGGUUAUGAUUUCGAUUGGGACCUGUUGAAUCUCAAUUGAUCCUAUAAGGUCUGAUUCGGUAACAAAUGGUGCACUUGGAGUCAUUUAUCAACAGACUUUUGGCCCUAAGCAAAGAGAUUUUCGAGUCCAAGAUCAAUUUAUAAUAUUAAUACUUGGUUUAGGUCCGUUGGAGAGUUGAAAAAUGGUAGAAAUAUGAGAUUAAUGCUGAUAAAUUUAUGCUGUUAUCCCAAUCUUAAAUCUGUUUUGGUAACAAGGUGGGUUGAAGGAAAUGGAGAUAAUCAUGAGUGUCGUGUCAUCGGCUGAUUUUUCAUUAUAAAUUUAAUUUGAGACCAGAAAGAAAAACAGAAUCACCUUAAUUUUAAUGUUUUGUUGGAAAAUUUGGAUGGAUAUUUGAAAAUACAAAGUGAUGGAGAGCAUAGCCCUCUGUUCAUCUCAAUUGAUAUGGAAUCAGCAACAAACACAAAACGAUGCCAAACCAUAUUUAAUCAUCAUCAACAUCAUCAUAAUUCAAUCAGCAAUCAUUAGCUAAUCGGAACAUCUUCACAGUGAUUACAAUCGUGUGAUGAGAAACAUUUCUGAAUGCCUAAUUUAUGAUAACUCAGCAUUGAAUUUCACUCCCAAAAAUGUACUCCCUGUUUGUUUAUUUUGGCGAGUUAAAUUACAAUUUCCAAUGGAUCAUUAUUAACAUACAAGUAAUUUAUUGAGAAUUGAAGUUUCAAAUAGGAAACCAUAGAGGAAACAUUAUCUGACUCAGAAAUAGUUGAGAUACUUUUUCAUUACAUGAUCAAGCCAAGCCAAUUUUAUUACUGAAUCAAGAAUGAAACUUUUUCGGCUCAUGUUUUUUACGUGUUUAUCAAUAAGCAAAUUGUUGUGAUUUGUUUUUGAAGGCUUUUCACUCAGAUUGAGGGUAAAUAAACAUUAGUUUAUUGCCUUUUCCUUCAUCAUCAACACCAACUAUAAUCAUCUCCAUCAUAAUCAACCUCAUCUUGCAUUUUACAUUUCUAAUAACUUAAUCUAGCCAAGCAAAUGAUUCUGUGAAAAAUCAUUUUGUACAAACUUUUCGCAAAUCUAGGUGAAAAUGAUGUGUCCAAGUUUACAAAUAAAACUGUUGCUCGCGUGUUGAUGUUUAUUGUAGCUGAAGGAACACACGUAAAAAAAAGAUGAACAACUAAUCAACAUUAAAUUGUGAUUAAACAGCACAAAAUAGUAAAAAUUGAAAGCAAAAAAUCAACAAGCAAAUUUUGCUCCUCUAAAUGGUGACAACGACUGUGACAACGCUGCUGUUCCUGGUGAUGCGUCUGAUCAUGAUGAUUAUCAUUCUUGUAUCAACUGACAUUGUUAAUGUCAAUUUAUAAAUGGUGACCCAAAUAGUGAUAAACAUGAGUAGUUAAAUACAAAGUGUAUAUCAAGCUAAGUUGCACUGUUUUUUGCCACUUUCAAAUGACAACUUUACAACAGUUAGUCAAAUAUUAAGUGACAUUACAAGCAAUUUAACAAUUCAAAUGUCUUAUCCAAGUAAAUUGAUUCCAAGUGAAAAAAAUUAUUUCUGUUAAUCAUGUUAAUCUUUACCAUGCACAAAUGCCAAUCAGACUUUAUCAGUAAUCAUUUUGCUGCAAGAAAAUAAAAAAGCUAAACAGAGAGCAAAAACCCAACUUUUUUUUCUGGUUCUUCAUUUAACCCAGAAAAUGAUUUCACCUGAUAUAACUUUUUGUCUUAUCAAUUACAACUUGAUUAACUAAUUACACUACAUUCAAGCUAAUUGCUAGUGACUAACACUUCUAGGCUAACUCUAAAAAUCCUAAAUUUAGUGUAAUUUAACCACCAUUAUGAAUCAGUUUAACAUUAAAUUGUCAUGAAUUUCUCAUGAACCUUUUGGGCCUAAAAGGUCAAACUUGA